GGGCCCGUAGCUCAGCCAGGUAGAGCGGCGGCCUCCGGUCCUAGGGGGGUAGCCGUAGGUCGUGGGUUCGAAUCCCACCGGGCCCGCCA
rnacentral:tRNA from 1 species